CAGGUCAAUGGCCUGGACAUGCAAGUGGUCAGCCACCACGAGGCUGCCCUGAGGAAUGCUGGGAGCUGCAUCAAGAUGAAAGUCAUGCCUCGAUGCCUGCCGGGUCCAGCAGGAAAGUGCUGUUGCUGUCACCGUGAAGAGAGACAUUCUCAUGAGCUGGCAGCUUGUUGACCAGGAGGAAGGACGCCAGCCACCCAAGGCCCAGCAGCCAGGCCCGGAGCACUCUGUGGACUGUAGCCUGACCAAGAGGAUUGAGACUGUGGUCUGUAACGGCAACGGAGUGCCUGAUCUGGAGACUGUCCUUAAUUGGUCAUUCUUUGAAUGAGAACCGGAGACCUCGUUUAAAAGCCAUGCACUUCAAGUGGUGAAAAAUACCAUGACGAUACCUCGGAUUAUCCUCACCCACCCCUCUACCUCAGACGACGAUGUGGAGCCUGUGACACAGGACCCUGACAGUGAGGCAUUAGAGGACUUUGAGGAUCCAGACUGCCACAUCCACUCUGAGUGCUUUAACAGUGCUUACUAUCCCCCCUGACCACAUGCCUAAGGUUUGCAUGCGAAAAAUGUUAACAACAACUGACUUGUUACACACAGCUGUCUUUCUCCUUACUUUUGUAUUGACUUGAAAAAAGGAAAGAUAUUCCAACUAAAGAUAUGUUUAUGUAAGUAAAGAACGAGUGAAAUUG